UCGGAGAGGCUGGUGACGUCCGUGCGCUUGGGAGUCUUUUUAACAUGUGUGGCUUAUUGCUGGCCGUCGCCACCGCCUCGCAGACGGCCGCAUGAGCCGAUGGACUUGCCACAGGAAAUAUCAGACAGGCCGUAGAUUGCCGAGGCCUCCUGGCUCUCCCUUCUACAACUCGCCGAGAUGGGCGUUGGUUUCUUGUGAUGCGGGAAAGCUGAUUCGUGCUUCAGUCCACACCCAUCUCACGCCCACGACAACAGCUCACCCGCGAUACCCUCCUCCUCAGUGGUUGUGGUGAGCGGCUGGGGGUCGGGCCCAUGUGAGGCGUGCGGGGGGCAGG